rnacentral:piRNA from 1 species
UAGAAUAAAGUUGAUGAAGAGAA